UACGUAGGGGGCAAGCGUUGUCCGGAAUCAUUGGGCGUAAAGGGCGCGUAGGUGGUGGCUUAAGCGUGCGGUGAAAGCUCGGGGCUCAACCCCGAGUCGGCCGUGCGAACUGGGCUCACUGGAGCAUAGUAGAGGCAGGUGGAAUUCCGGGUGUAGCGGUGGAAUGCGUAGAGAUCCGGAAGAACACCGGUGGCGAAGGCGGCCUGCUGGGCUAUGGCUGACACUGAGGCGCGACAGCGUGGGGAGCAAACAGG
rnacentral:rRNA from 1 species